AAUGUGCGCUGGAGAAACGGAAAUGGAGGUGUGAGACCUAGACCCGGAAAACCCACGUGAUCAUGCGGAAGGCUCGACCGAGGAGGGGAAGUCAGGACCUAAGGCGAGGCUGAAAAGCGUAGUCGAUGGACAACGGGUUAAUAUUCCCGUACCAUUAUUUAUUGAUAACGAGGGACGGAGAAGGCUAAGCUGGCCGGAUAUUGGUUACCGGUUUAAACGUUCGAGGUGUUGAGAAACGGAGAAAACGUUUUGAGCUGAGGCGUGAGUACGAGAUGCUACGGCAUUGAAGCAGUGUAUGUCAGACUUCCAAGAAAAGCUCGCAAUGUCAUAAAUAAAUAAUGCCUGUACCAUAACCGACACAGGUGGGUAGGUAGAGUAUACUAAGGGGCGCGAGAUAACUCUCUCUAAGGAACUCGGCAAAAUAACUCCGUAACUUCGGGAGAAGGAGUGCCUUAUUUAUAAGGCUGCAAUAACAAGAUCCAAGCAACUGUUUAUCAAAAACACAGGUCUCCGCUAAGUCGUAAGACGAUGUAUGGGGGCUGACGCCUGCCCAGUGCCAGAAGGUUAAAGAAGUUGGUUAGCAUUAGCGAAGCUGAUAACUGAAGCCCUGGUGAACGGCGGCCGUAACUAUAACGGUCCUAAGGUAGCGAAAUUCCUUGUCGGGUAAGUUCCGACCCGCACGAAAGGCGUAAUGAUUUGGAUACUGUCUCGGAGAGGGGCUCGGUGAAAUAGACUUGUCUGUGAAGAUGCGGACUACCUGCACCUGGACAGAAAGACCCUAUGAAGCUUUACUGUAACUUGAAAUUGAAAUUGGACUUUAUUUGCGCAGUAUAGGUGGGAGGCUUUGAGUUUAUUCUUGCGGGAAUUUAGGAGCCAUCAGUGAGAUACCACUCUUGUAAUGUUAGAUUUCUAACUUUGUAUCAUUAUCUGGUCAAAGAACAGUUUCAGGCGGGCAGUUUGACUGGGGCGGUCGCCUCCCAAAUGGUAACGGAGGCGUACAAAGGUUUCCUCUGAACGGGUAGAAAUCGUAUCUAGAGUGUAAAGGCAUAAGGAAGCUUGACUGUGAGACCUACAAGUCGAACAGGGACGAAAGUCGGUCUUAGUGAUCUGACGGUACUGAGUGGAAAGGCCGUCACUCAACGGAUAAAAGUUACUCUAGGGAUAACAGGCUGAUCUCCCCCAAGAGUUCACAUCGACGGGGAGGUUUGGCACCUCGAUGUCGGCUCAUCGCAUCCUGGGGCGGUAGUACGUCCCAAGGGUUGGGCUGUUCGCCCAUGAAAGCGGUACGCGAGCUGGGUUCAGAACGUCGUGAGACAGUUCGGUCCAUAUCCGGUGUAGGCGUUAGAAUAUUGAGAGGAGCCUUCUUUAGUACGAGAGGACCGAGAAGGACAUACCUAUGGUGUACCAGUUAUCGUGCCAACGGUAAACGCUGGGUAGCUAAGUAUGGAGUGGAUAACCGCUGAAAGCAUCUAAGUGGGAAGCCCACCUCGAGAUGAGUAUUCUCAUCACGAAAGUGAGUAAGGUCACGGUAAGACUAACCGUUUAAUAGGCAUUAAGUGUAAGUACAGUAAUGUAUGUGCUGAGAUGUCCUAACAGACCGAGGACUUGAAUUU
rnacentral:rRNA from 1 species